rnacentral:RNase_P_RNA from 1 species
CGAGUUGGCGGGGCGGCCGCGAGCGGUGCUCGGCACCGUUCGAGGAAAGUCCGGACUCCACAGGGCAGGGUGGUUGCUAACGGCAACCCGGGGCGACCCGCGGGAAAGUGCCACAGAAAACAGACCGCCGCGUACGCGCGGUAAGGGUGAAACGGUGGUGUAAGAGACCACCAGCACCCCGGGUGACCGGGGUGGCUCGGUAAACCCCACCCGGAGCAAGGCCAAGAGGGCGCUCACGCGCCUGCGCGAGCGAGAGGGCUGCCCGUCCUGCUCGCGGGUAGGCCGCUUGAGCCCGCCGGUGACGGCGGGCCUAGAUGGAUGGUCGCCACCCGGCAGGCCGCAAGGCGUGCCGGGCACAGGAUCCGGCUUAUACGCCAACUCGUCCG